GAUGAACGCUGGCGGCGUGCUUAACACAUGCAAGUCGAGCGAAGCACUUACCAUUGACUCUUCGGAAGAUUUGGUAAAUGACUGAGCGGCGGACGGGUGAGUAACGCGUGGGUAACCUGCCUCAUACAGGGGAAUAACAGUUAGAAAUGGCUGCUAAUGCCGCAUAAGCGCACAGUACCGCAUGGUACGGUGUGAAAAACCGAGGUGGUAUGAGAUGGACCCGCGUCUGAUUAGGUAGUUGGUGGGGUAACGGCCUACCAAGCCGACGAUCAGUAGCCGGCCUGAGAGGGGUGAACGGCCACAUUGGGACUGAGACACGGCCCAGACUCCUACGGGAGGCAGCAGUGGGGAAUAUUGCACAAUGGGGGAAACCCUGAUGCAGCGACGCCGCGUGAAGGAAGAAGUAUCUCGGUAUGUAAACUUCUAUCAGCAGG
rnacentral:rRNA from 1 species